GACGAACGCUGGCGGCGUGCUUAACACAUGCAAGUCGAACGGAAAGGCCCUGCUUUUGUGGGGUGCUCGAGUGGCGAACGGGUGUGUAACACGUGAGUCACCUGCCCUUGACUUUGGGAUAACUUCAGGAAACUGGUGCUAAUACCGGAUAGGUGCUCCUGCUGCAUGGUGGGGGUUGGAAAGUUUCGGCGGUUGGGGAUGGACUCGCGGCUUAUCAGCUUGUUGGUGGGGUAGUGGCUUACCAAGGCUUUGACGGGUGGCCGGCCUGGGAGGGGGAACGGCCACAUUGGGACUGAGAUACGGCCCAGACUCCUACGGGAGGCAGCAGUGGGGAAUAUUGCACAAUGGGCGGAAGCCUGAUGCAGCAACGCCGCGUGCGGGAUGAAGGCCUUCGGGUUGUAAACCGCUUUAGCCUGUGACGAAGCGUGAGUGACGGUAAUGGGUAAAGAAGCACCGGCUAACUACGUG
rnacentral:rRNA from 1 species